CAGCAGCCGCGGGAAUACGUAGGGUGCGAGCGUUAAUCGGAAUUACUGGGCGUAAAGCGUGCGCAGGCGGUUGUGUAAGACAGGUGUGAAAUCCCCGGGCUUAACCUGGGAACUGCGCUUGUGACUGCACAGCUAGAGUAUGGCAGAGGGGGGUGGAAUUCCACGUGUAGCAGUGAAAUGCGUAGAGAUGUGGAGGAACACCGAUGGCGAAGGCAGCCCCCUGGGCCAAUACUGACGCUCAUGCACGAAAGCGUGGGGAGCAAACAGGAUUAGAUACCCGCGUAGUCCCUGUCUCUUAUAC
rnacentral:rRNA from 1 species